GAUGAAGAACGUAGCGAAAUGCGAUAAGUAAUGUGAAUUGCAGAAUUCAGUGAAUCAUCGAAUCUUUGAACGCCCAUUGCGUCCGCCAGUAUUCUGGCGGGCAUGCCUGUUCGAGCGUCAUUUCAACCAUCAAGCCCCCGGCUUGUGUUGGGGACCUGCGGCUGCCGCAGGCCCUGAAAAGCAGUGGCGGGCUCGCUGUCACACCGAGCGUAGUAGCAUACAUCUCGCUCCGGGCGUGCUGCGGGUUCCGGCCGUUAAACCACCUUCAUAACCCAAGGUUGACCUCGGAUCAGGUAGGAAGACCCGCUGAACUUAAGCAUAUCAAUAAGCGGAGGA
rnacentral:misc_RNA from 1 species